AAGCCUUUAAUUAGAAUGUUUGUAUUUUUUACAUCAUGCAUAACUUCACAUUUGUGAUUAAUUAGUAAUUAUUUCAAUACUUGUAAGCUCAUCUGCCUCAGAUUUAAUCAUAAUACAUGAAUUAAAUUAAUCAAAUUAAGGAACAGCAAUUUAGAAAGAAACACACUUUAAGAAAUCAAAAUUCUCAAUUCAGGCAGUCUGUUUCUAUCAUUUGGUAUUCUACUCCUUUAAAAAUUUCAUAUUGCCCAACAAAAAGUGGUUAUUUUUACUGUUUUUGGAGAUGACUGAACAGAUGAAGGCAUCAGAUGCCUUCAUCAGCUGGUAUUUUGCCUAAGAUCUAUUUAAGAUAACCUUUUCUUAUAUUUUUUACUUAAUAUUGGGCAUAAUCGUAUCAUUCAAGAUUAAGUCUGGGUUAUUUCUUUGAUAAGAACUGAAUGUGGCCGGGCGCAGUGGCUCACGCCUGUAAUCCCAGCACUUUGGGAGGCUGAGGCAGGAGAAUGGCGUGAACCCGGGAGGUGGAGGUUGCAGUGAGCCGAGAUUGCGCCACUGCACUCCAGCCUGGGCGACAGAGCGAGACUGUCUCAAAAAAAAAAAGAACG
rnacentral:lncRNA from 10 species